AUUGAACGCUGGCGGCAGGCCUAACACAUGCAAGUCGAACGAGUGGCGGACGGGUGAGUAAUGUCUGGGAAACUGCCUGAUGGAGGUGGAUAACUACUGGAAACGGUAGCUAAUACCGCAUACCAUCGGAUGUGCCCAGAUGGGAUUGGCUAGUAGGUGGGGUAAAGGCUCACCUAGGCGACGAUCCCUAGCUGGUCUGGGCGGAUGACCAGGCACAUUGGAACUGAGACACGGUCCAGACUCCGACGGGAGGCAGCAGUGGGGAAUAUUGCACGAUGGGCGCAAGCCUGAUACAGCCAUGCCGCGUGUAUGAAGAAGGCCUUCGGGUUGUAAAGUACUUUCAGCGGGUAGGCGUUACCCGCAGAAGAAGCACCGGCUAACUCCGUGCCAGCAGCCGCGGUAAUUC
rnacentral:rRNA from 1 species